AGUAGCUGCUUGGCCCCUCCUCUCUCUCUUUAAGCUCUUACCUUUCUUACUCUCAUCUCUAGACCUCCUUCUCUCCCUCCCUUCUACCCUUCUCUCCAAGUGGCCAUGGCUGGUCUCCCUCUUUCUACCUUCUCUCUUUCUCCUUGCCUUUCUACAAUUAAGCUCUAAAACCAUAGACUGUCUCUGCUCAUCAAGGCCCGCUGUACUUGAAAGAUGGGAUGGGCUUUCCCCUAAAGAGCUGCUUCUAACCUCCCAACGGAAGGCCUUCCUGUGCUCCAGCAACUGACAGAACCAAGAACUCUUGCCCUCAUGAGAACUGUCCAGCGCCCCCUCUCUCCCUGCCCUCUCCUUCCUUUGGCCCCAGAGACCUCAGACUGCUCCUUGUCUACCCCCCACUGGACUAGGGUUCCCUGGCUUCCCAUAGCCAGACACCCACCCGGCGCCACUUGGAAAGCAUGCAGCAGUCCUCCGGCAUCCACCCGCCCAGAGCACCAGAACUCCGGUGGGACUCAGGUUUUCCCCCACCUCCUUUAGAGAACUGAUCUAAUAUGGAAACAAUUUGUUCUAUACUUCAAGUGAAAGAAUACUUAUUGAUUAAUGCUGCAUGGGAGGUCAUCACUGGGGAUAUUAUCCAAUGAAGACAUUCUCAUGAUUCAUCAUGUGCCAAACACUACCUUGUUAUCACUUAUUAUUAGACAAUGAAAACAGGGAUCAUGACAGAGUUAUACACCAGAGUCUUGUUUCCAAGCAAUGCAAAACAAAACACCGAAAAAAAAUAACUGGACCAUUGUAUAUUUAAGAGAUCUUAAAGAAAUAACAACACGUGGUGUUUCCACAAUGGUCUGGAGGAAGUUAGGAGGAGUAGAAAUGUAGUGUCUGUGGGGUCUUCUUCAUCGCGAAGGUCGGGGCUAAAUGUAGCCAUAGAUUAUUUUUGCACUCAUACCAGGUUAUUCACUUUUACUUAACUUUUCAAUGCCUGAUUAAGGAAUAUCUUGUUUUGGAAUUGUGACACACUGGUAUGUGUAUUUGGGCUCAUUUGAACCAUAUUAUGUGUGGAGAACAAAGGACAACAUUUGGAGGUUAGUAUUCCCCAUUUUUGUUUUUGAGGAAAGGUCUGACUGUCUGUCUUUUUCUCUCUUUUCUUUCUUUUUCAAUGAGAAUUUCACUUUUUGAUAGUAAGGUUCAGAAGUGCAGAUGUAAAUUCUUCUGCUAAAAAAGAAAAGAAUGGCGAUGAUGAAGAUGAUGGUGGUAGUGCAGGUGACUGUGAAGAUGAUGAUGAAGAAGAAGAUGAUUAAAUGUUGACAUUGCUCUUCAGCAAAAAUCAUAGCAGGUGGUCUGUUGUGGAAAUGGACUAGAGUUGCUUCUUUUUGAAGUGAUGGGGUGUACACAUGGGGUAAGGCUUGUAUAUUUUUGCUAAAUGAGGCAUAAGCCUGCUGUCACUGAUACCCAUUUGAGCAGCUUGACAGAGCAGGAAGCUCUCUCAGCCCCUUCCAUACUGUGAAAGCUAUUCCUCAGGGAGGAAGAUUUGAGGUCAGGUCCAGUUCACAUCAUCUAAAGUCCUAUGCUCAAAUGCCCUGUGUAUUCACUAUCAUGAACUUCAAAGACUGGACACUGAAGAUUUACCAUUUUGUAACAUUCAGUUGCGACUCUCGGGAAAAGCAGACAAUCAAGCAUGGACAAGUGGUGGAUAAAGCAAGUCCAGGACACUCAUCAUCAUCAGGAUAUCACACGACAGUUCAGAAAUCUCAGGAUCUCAAUCUUGCUAAAGACCCAUUGCUAUUCACCUCUUUUGACCUCCGGGACCUGUAGGCAAUCAUGCCUUAUGUUUCAGUCCCAGUGUAUAAGAGUCUAAGACGUGACAUGUGACCAGCAUCCAUAUCACAGGUGAGAUUAUCUGGAGAAUCAGACUCUGGAGUAUAUAUUUUCUAUUGCAAGCAACUCAAUAUAAGAACAGCCACCUACAUUUAGUACCAACGAAUAUUAAAAUAAAUAUCAAAGAAACUAAAAUCUUAUAAGUAAUGAUUAACAUGUCUGCUUGAAAUUGCAAAACAAUAUACAAAGAGCAGAAUAAGUCAGAUGGACUAUAUUAUAGAUUCUGUUCAUUCCUAUGUAUUCCUCCUUGGUUUUGUGAUUUCUCAUUAAAGUGCAGAGACUUAAAUAAUACCUGUUUCUGAAGUCUGAGAGAAAGAAAUGAACAGAUGGGAGAUCAAAGCGGCAGCCGAGGCGGGGAUGUAAUAGACACAGACCUCCCAGUGAUAGAUGGAAAAUGAAACUGUGAGUGCCCAAGAAAGAAAGAGAGGGUAGCAGACUCAUCUUUGCCAUCCUGAGGAUAUUAAAGUGGUGGCAUAUUUUCUGACAGGAAUUUGCCCUAUGAAAUGCUCUUACUUUUUCUUCCAGAUAUCUGUAGGAAUUAAUUUUUAGUAUCUAGUGUGGUAACCUUUCUAAAAAGAGUUCUU
rnacentral:lncRNA from 1 species